AUUGAACGCUGGCGGCAGGCCUAACACAUGCAAGUCGAGCGAGAGGCGGACGGGUGAGUAAUGUCUGGGAAACUGCCUGAUGGAGGGGGAUAACUAAUGGAAACGGUAGCUAAUACCGCAUACCAUCAGAUGUGCCCAGAUGGGAUUAGCUAGUAGGGGGGGUAACGGCUCACCUAGGCGACGAUCCCUAGCUGGUCUGAGAGGAUGACCAGCCACACUGGAACUGAUACACGUUCCAGACUCCUACGGUAGUCAGCAGUGGGGAAUAUUGCACAAGUGGCGCAAGCCUGAUGCAUCCAUGCCGCGUGUGUGAAGAAGGCCUUCGGGUUGUAAAGCACUUUCAGCGGGGAGGCGUUACCCGCAGAAGAAGCACCGGCUAACUCCGUGCCAGCAGCCGCGGUAAUUC
rnacentral:rRNA from 1 species